rnacentral:rRNA from 1 species
AUUGAACGCUGGCGGCAUGCUUUACACAUGCAAGUCGAACGGUAACAGGCCGCAAGGUGCUGACGAGUGGCGAACGGGUGAGUAAUGCAUCGGAACGUGCCCAGUCGUGGGGAUAACGCAGCGAAAGCUGCGCUAAUACCGCAUACGAUCUAUGGAUGAAAGCGGGGGACCGUAAGGCCUCGCGCGAUUGGAGCGGCCGAUGUCAGAUUAGGUAGUUGGUGGGGUAAAGGCUCACCAAGCCAACGAUCUGUAGCUGGUCUGAGAGGACGACCAGCCACACUGGGACUGAGACACGGCCCAGACUCCUACGGGAGUCAGCAGUGGGGAAUUUUGGACAAUGGGCGCAAGCCUGAUCCAGCAAUGCCGCGUGCAGGAAGAAGGCCUUCGGGUUGUAAACUGCUUUUGUACGGAACGAAACGGUCCUGGUUAAUACCUGGGGCUAAUGACGGUACCGUAAGAAUAAGCACCGGCUAACUACGUGCCAGCCGCCGCCGUAAUAC